GUUAUCGUUUAUUUGAUAGUACCUUACUACUUGGAUAACCGUGGUAAUUCUAGAGCUAAUACAUGCUAAAAACCCCGACUUCGGGAGGGGUGUAUUUAUUAGAUAAAAAACCAAUGCCCUUCGGGGCUCCUUGGUGAUUCAUGAUAACUUAACGGAUCGCAUGGCCUUGCGCCGGCGACGGUUCAUUCAAAUUUCUGCCCUAUCAACUUUCGAUGGUAAGGUAUUGGCUUACCAUGGUUUCAACGGGUAACGGAGGAUUAGGGUUCGACCCCGGAGAGGGAGCCUGAGAAACGGCUACCACAUCCAAGGAAGGCAGCAGGCGCGCAAAUUACCCAAUCCCGACACGGGGAGGUAGUGACAAUAAAUACUGAUACAGGGCUCUUUUGGGUCUUGUAAUCGGAAUGAGUACAAUUUAAACCCCUUAACGAGGAACAAUUGGAGGGCAAGUCUGGUGGACGCUCACAGCUCCCACGCUGCUGACGCCAGAGAUAGUCGGGCGGGAGGCCGAAGAGCCCCCGUUAUGCCGGCUAGUCGAGCACCUGUCAGUCUGAUGGGGAGGUGCCGGCGAGACAACCUGGAUCGAAGAAGGCUAAGGCACCCCGCGGUGCUAUGCUGACCUCGAGCGGAGCUGUGGCGGAGCGAUCCGCGCACGAGCCCGUGUAGAGCACGCAAAGGUGUCGGCUAGCUCACGCAGUUAGCUUAAGGUACGUGCCGUCCUGCCCGAAAGGGCAGCCAUUAGCCGGAGCGCCCAUCACGCGAGGGCUAGUGGGUCGCGAGUGAACCGGAGGGGCCCGUGGGCGCAGCGUUACAAGGGCGCGGGGUCGGGUGCAGUGGGUCGCAAGUGAAAUUUGUCCCACGGCCGCCGAGGACCGCGUUGCAUAGUAGUAGAGUGCAAAGGCAAGGAGAAGAAAACAACUGAUAUCACGUAGGCAAAAGCUCAACAGCCGCUGCACGUCUCAGUCGCCCGCGCCAUUGCACACUUGUACGCUCGCAUUUUAUUUCACUUGGGACAUGUUGGACGGCCAGCAGCCGCGGUAAUUCCAGCUCCAAUAGCGUAUAUUAAAGUUGUUGCAGUUAAAAAGCUCGUAGUUGAACCUUGGGCCUGGCUGGCCGGUCCGCCUCACCGCGUGUACUGGUCCGGCCGGGCCUUUCCUUCUAGCGAGCCUCAUGCCCUUCACUGGGUGUGUUGGGGAGCUAGAACUUUUACUGUGAACAAAUUAGAGUGUUCAAAGCAGGCCUUUGCUCGAAUACAUUAGCAUGGAAUAAUAGAAUAGGACGUGCGGUCCUAUUUUGUUGGUUUCUAGGACCGCCGUAAUGAUUAAUAGGGAUAGUCGGGGGCAUCAGUAUUCAAUUGUCAGAGGUGAAAUUCUUGGAUUUAUUGAAGACUAACUACUGCGAAAGCAUUUGCCAAGGAUGUUUUCAUUAAUCAGUGAACGAAAGUUAGGGGAUCGAAGACGAUCAGAUACCGUCGUAGUCUUAACCGUAAACUAUGCCGACUAGGGAUCGGGCGAUGUUUAAAUCUUGACUCGCUC
rnacentral:rRNA from 1 species